AAAGUCCUAGCCUAGCCAGGAGGGCCGUGACCAAAUGUCUCCUGCAUAUUGUUGAAAAAGAACAAAGUUGUAGCCUAGCCAGGAGGGCUGUGACCAAAAGUCCUAGCCUAGUUGGCUCCGCCCAAAGAAUCCUAGCCUAGCCGUGACCAAAUGUCUCCUGCAUAUUGUUGAAAAAGAACAAAGUUGUAGCCUAGCCAGGAGGGCUGUAAUCAAAAGUCCAUGGCUAGGUCCCUGAGGGAUUACCUAUCCUCAUGGCGGCUACAUUACCCUGGGUAUAUUAAGUCCCUGAGGGUCCCUAUCCUCAUGGCUAGGUCUAAUAUGGCCCUGAGGGAUUGCCUAUCCUCAUGGCUAUAUUAACCUGGGUAUAUUAGGUCCCUGAGGGAUUGCCUAUCCUCAUGGUUAGGGAUUGCCUACUCAUGGGGCUGGCCCUGAGUUCCUCAUGGCUACAUUACCUUAACCUGAUGAUUGCCUAGCCUAUUAAUCAUAACUCUCAUAACUCAUUAUGAACAACAAUAGACAAGCCAUGACACUUAUAAACAAAUCAUUUAUAAACAAAUCAUUUCAGUUCGAGUCUACUGUGUUUGUUCUCUUUGUCCUGUACAUGUUGUUGUCCACUCUUGAAAUCCGAUGAAAUGUCCACUCCCCUGCAUUAUGAACAACAAUAGACAAGUCAUGACAAUGUAAAGAUAGAUGUACAAACAGAUAGAGUGUAAAGUCUGCCAGGAGGGCAAAUGUCUCAUGUCUUAGGAACAAAGUCAUAGCCUAGCCAUAAGGGUAGACCAGCCAUGAGGGAUUAAUUGGUGAUGUAACCUAAUGUCUCCAGUCUUAUUGUUGAAAAGAACAAAGUCCUAGCCUAGCCAUGAGGGCAGCUUAAGUGGUGAUGUAACCUGAGUCAAAAUUAAGUGGUGAUGUAAUCUAAGUCAAGAACCAUGAGGGUUCAAAUCUACCUUCUAAACAGCCCUGAGGCCAUGACCUGUAAACCUUAAAACCAUAAGGGAUGCCCUGAGGCCCUCAUGUAUAUGGCAUGAGGGCUUGGAGCCCUCAUGUAUAGGGCCCUCGGGGUACUAUUACACUGUCACCCCAGUAGCUAUGGCCCUAACCCAAACCCUAACCGUUAGUGCACUUAACCACAACUCUAGCUGUUGUUAGUGCACUUAACCACAAGCUGUUGUUACAGCACUUUUAAGCACCUUUGCAACACAUGAACACCAAGCAUGAAACCACAAAGAAACCACAAUGAACUAUUGAUAGUGAACUGUGGUUACAGAAAUCUGCACGUUACAUGUAGUGAUGUUACCUCUGCUCAUGUGACCAGAAAAAGAACUCACAUGGCAUAUACUUGAGCUAGCUAGCUAGAGAAUUAGAAGGCAAUAUUAAAAUGUCUUGGUAUACCUAUCCUCCUGGAGAUUCCACUGGUACAUGUAAUGAAGCAGUUGAUGUUCGGUGGACACAUUUUCAUCCCCAGCUGGCUAUCCAACAAACGCCACAAGCCUUCUCAAUGCAAGCCUUCUCAGCACAGACACAGGAUAUUGAUCACCCUGGUCUGAGCUCUGGUAAGCCAAGCUACAAGUACAUUGUUCGCAUAAUAAAUCCACAGCAAAGAAGUAAACAUGUUACUAAGAUGUGGCAUGGUGUGGCAUGGUGUGAAUGAAAGAUUCAAGAGUGUAGAUCAACUAAAACAGAAACUUUCAUCUGAUUUUGGAGACAAACUACCUUCCGUUUCAGAUAUGGAGUGGUUACCUUGAGAAAAGCUCAAAACGUUGGAUUGAGGAUAAUCGCGAUUUGGAGGCUAUGUACAAAGUAGCAGAAGUUUGUGAUGAAAUAACUAUUUGGUGUGAUGCUCGAGGUGAAUGCUCGAGGUGAAUGUGAUAGUGUACCGGCUAAAGGUGCUAACAAGAAAAGGAAGCUAACUGAGCACGAAGAUGCACCUGUAGUGAAACGACAAGACAAGAUUGACCAGGUAACGUCAGAACUACAGCAGAAGCAUGGGGAAAAGUUUGGAAUGCCUCAACUACGUAUAUGGGCCAGAAUGAUCUUAAACAACCAGCACAACAGUACUGACACACCACCAUCUUUUCCCCUUUUCAAUGAUAAUGUGAAACGGGCUAAUAAGCGUGACGGUUUAACUGAAGCUCUUACUACUGCUGCAACAGCUGUUGUUGGGAUGCUGAAAGGCAAUGACCCUAAUCCUAACACCCAAUCAGUAGUAUCCCCUGGAAAAAAGGCUCGUAUUUCUGGUCAGUACUUAGAGCAUCUCGAAUGACUCAAGUCUCUACAAGAAUCUGGAGUACUAACAAGCGCAGAAUUCAGUGAACAAAAAGAAUAUGCAUUAAAGAACAUUAGAAAGCUGAAUGAUUAAAUUGAAUUGGACUUUUGCUCAUUAUGACACACUCACAUAAUAGUUAUGUAGGUGAUUGUCCCUUUAUUAUUAAGAUGUAUUGCAUCCA